ACGGAUCCUUGAGUUUACAGUUUUAUUCCCUCACUGAAAGAGGAACUUGAAAUACUGUUUCAAAGUCCCAGGACCCGGAGAACAUACAAAGAUACAGGUGGAACCUACAACUGAACACUUGGACCAAUUCUAGCAGCAUUUAGGACGCCAAAGCUGACUUCUUUCCUCAUCUGCUUACACAGUCCUAUUCCAGUUUCUCCAUCCUUCAUUUCCUCCCUCCGCCAUAAUGUCCACCCUUUCCCCCGAUCCCAAAGCCAGAGGCAUCAACUUCGACCUGCCCACCUGUGGAGACACUCAGUGCAACAGCCAUGGCAAAUGUGUGAUUCCUCCUGGUGGUGGCGCCGGUUUUGUUUGUGAGUGCACGUUGGGCUACAGGGGCGAGUCCUGCGAGGACACGGUGAACGGAGCGCUGAGCGUCCCUCUGACCGUCAGCGUGUUGGCUGUAAUCAUCGGCCUGUUGAUCUUGGCGUUCAUCGCGGCCAAAUUGCGGCAAAGGCAGAAAAAGAAUCGCAGGAGACAACUGGCAGCAAGGCAUGGCUACAACAUAUCAGUGUAACACGGGCACAUCUGUUAUGUUACAGGUCGACCAUGACAUUAGACCCAGUAACACAGUUGAGCUUCCAUCAGAAUGAGCAUAAGCCUCUUCAUCAAACUCUAAAAUCCUGUAUAUUUGGGGAGAAAACAUUAAUGUAAUCUGUUUUACAUACAAGUGAUAUGGAAGUAAGAUCUGUUUUGGGAAUAUGGUUGAACAGCUGUAGGAUUCUUGCUUCAGUGCAUUAUUCAGAUAUUUCAUUUUAUUUCCAUACGAUACAAAUUUUUGAGUUUUUGUUAUGGUCUGAUGCUAGAAUUUUUUAAUGCAUUUCAAUAAGUUAGACAGUAGAUAUUAGUUACAAAUGAACAAUUAUUACAAAUGAACAAUGACUGUAUUUGUAACACUCACCACCUUUUUUGUAAAUACACAUGCAUACAUACGUGUACUUCCUCAAAAACAGAAAAGCUGAAUGUGUCCUUUAGUACUGUCUGCAUUUAGUAAAAUGAUUCAAAUGCUCUCAGUCCAGUCACAGAGUAACUUCUCCUACACCAAAAACAGUGGUGUUAGCUGCAGUAGUACUAAUAGUGAAUAUUUGUCAGGAUUUAAUGAACAGGUUUCAUUUGUUGAAAUGAUUUUAUGAUGCUUCAAUCACACAGACGCACUUUAACCAAAAAUCUGUUUUAUCCAGUGAUUGUCAGAUGUUCGAUGUUGACCUGUUUACUGCACUUUGUAAUCACUGAUAUAUCAUGGCAUUCACCGAGCUGAUAUCUGCUUAACGACAGUUCUAGAUUUUGUAUUUUAUGAACUAUCUGGUUCUCUCAGUUAAAAAUAAUCUGAUUUUGAAUAUGCCACAACUGAAAAAUACUGGUUAAACAGGUCUUAGAUCUUUUGCAGACUAUUGUAUUGUUGUCUAAUGUUCUUUUGUACACGUUUGACUGAUAUGUGUCUUUUUGUAAUAUUCAGCCACAACUAUAAAUGAGCACCAUAUUUUU